CUCUCUCUCUUGGAUGAUUCCAAUAUAACUCGAAUGUUGAAGACUCUUCUUAUCCUUUUCUUGAGCCAAUAGCAUCUCUUUUUCUUACAGCCACAGGUUGCUGAUUCAACACUCAUCAAGCUUCUAACCCCCCUUACAAGCUUGAAUGCUCGGCAUGGGAUGUGGUUUUCAAAAAGCCAAAGAGUUUAAGAUUUAUAAUUUCUCGAUCAAGUAAUUGAAUUAUUCUUUUUACCAAAAAAAAUAUUUACUAUCCGUCAGUCUUUAAAUUUUAUUUGUGUGACAGUCCCAGCCUUAAGACACAACUUCUGAAACAUAAUCUUCAUUCAUCAAUCGAGAGCCGUAAAAGGCUAGUAAGUAUGCGUUUUAUGGUGUCGACAUGAAUUUGUUGUCUAUAUGAUAUAUAUAUUAGACCUUUGAGUAUUAGAUAUUUCGAAGUUUCUCAACCUGCGUUGUCGGGUUUGGGAGGCCGGCACGAGCGAGUUCUGCGAAGUAAGCAGCGUCAGCGUUCGGCCAGCCUAUCACCCAUCCAAAUAUUCGUGCGCAAACUAGGUGUAACAGCGCGGCGGACAGCUCUCACCGCCCGCUUUGUUUUCCUUACUCAUUAGUUUAAGGCGAGUUAGUAUCGUACCUGCGCGUCUCCUUUUAAUGACCUGACGCUCCUUGCUUAUGGCUCAUCUGCCGAUGUGGGACUAAUCGUUCGGGCUUUAGACCCAAAUCGAGAGACGGGGAUUUUAGCCGGUACUGGUGGAGCACUAAUGCUACCCCGCGCUUCCCCUCAAACGACACGUUGUCGUUCGCACAUCUCUCAUCUGCCGAUGUGGGACUAAACCUUCUGAGCUUCGUUGCCCCCAUCCCGAAACCCUAGCUCUCCGAUCCUCCGGCUAAAUCCCUUUACCCAUGUCUGUGGCAGUAGUAGUAAUCUGAAGGAAAUUUUCUUCCGGUGGUCCAUUGGUUUUAAGUCGUCCGAUACACCAAGUAUGUUGUGCAGGUUUGUCUGCGCUUUGCAUUGCGUGCUGCAGAUUUACAUUUGGUGUCGUUCUGUUCUUUGAUACUUGUAACUCCUUUUCCUCCACACGGUAUUGCGCACAUAGUUAAUCAGCGGGCUGAAACUUUGAUUGCAGAGGGUGAAGAAGGUGGGAUCAAAAGGAUUUUGAGCAGCAUUCUAUGCCACUUAGUAUUUGACAUCUUUGAGUUGUUCUACCUCAACUUGAAUGCAAACUGAAACAUCAGGUAAAAAAUGGUGGCAACAGGAUACGCUUACUUAUCAUUGAUUCUACAUCAUAUUUCAUAACACCUAUCCUUGGAGGCAAAAAUUCACAAGGACUACUGUUGAUGAUUUCAACUGGAAUUCUGCUGAAGAAAAUAGCAAAUGAAUACAACCUGACAGUAACAUUGCAUAUUUUGUGCUUGGCUGCAUGAUUCCUGUUUCAUUUUUCUGUGAUGAAAUGCAUGCCUUUUUUUCCCCUAGUUUAUUUUGUUGCUACUGUUCUUAGAAAACUACCUAGUUUUAAUCUUGAAUGAAUAUAAACUACUAUUUCUUGUGUAGGACAUGUUCGUGAUCUGAGCUCCAGUUGUGUGUGGCACGACGAGUAGUCUGGAUCAAGCCUUAUGUAACUUGCUCCUAUCUGAAAUUUUAUGAUGAGAGAUCUACAAGGGAUGGGGACCGCAGGAAGGAAGUCGCACAUGAACGCACGAUCGUUGGACGUUAACAGCCACAAAGGAUUUCAAUUAUUGGUGCCCUCAUAAGAGUCGUCUUCGUCCUCCGCUGCCUCCAUCACGCGGAGUCGACAUGUUGGCUUUGCCCCUCUCGCAGGAGCCUAAGGUUGAGCGAGGAGGCACAGCGAUCUCGUUUUCAUUACACUGCCAUCCACAGUUCAGAUCACUGUGUGUUGUGCAAAAACAAAAAUAACAGGGUCUUCGACAAUGAAAUGGUUGAUUCUUCUGGUCA